AACCGGCCAACACACACACACACACACACACACACACACACACACAUCUGGGAAAGAGUUCGCGAAAGAGCGAUGUUCUGCUACAGCUGAUAUCAAGACCAUUGGGGUAUUUAACAAGACCUGCUAUCAAUUCAACGUAGACGAUGGAAGCUCAUUUGACUCCGCGCGGGAAAAAUGUAAACAAGCCGACGCCACCAUCACCGCCUCAGCGCGAAAUACCUCCCACCCUUCUGUCUCUCGCUCUAUCUCUCCGGAUCUCGCUCACUCGCUCACCGCCGUGACUCACCUCUGAGUUAGAGCGACGAGAGACAGCUUUGAAAGGAGACCUGGUGUGGAUCGGGCUGAGGAGAGACCCGGGAUUUAUUUCGCGGACAUGGCGUUGGGUGGACGGUACUGUAGUGACUGAGCCGAAGUGGGGGAAACAGCAACCAAACAACUACAACGGCAAGCAGGACUGUGUGGCGCUGGAUCGUGGUAGAAAAUGGUUGUGGAACGAUGUUGGUUGUGAGCUGGACUACCUACCAUAUAUCUGCAUGUCUGCCCCCAGGUCAUGCAGGUCGCCGGACAAGCAGGUCAACACCACGAUGGAGGUCACAGGUCACUCCACGGGUCAAAUCGUGACCUAUACAUGUCCAGUCGGGUCCAAACUUGA